rnacentral:lncRNA from 1 species
CAUGCCUAGUUUUUUAGUACAUCUAUUCAUCAACUUUUGACCGAUACAAUGGGGUCCUAGUUACUUCCCGGUUAUCCUUUUAGUUAGCCUCUUGAGCUUGCAUGCCAAUAGCCUCUUGAAAUAAGAUUACAUCACAAGAAAAUGAUACAGAAAUCUAUUUAAAUUGCAAUUGCAAAGACAACAAUAGUAAUGACUAUCAAGUAUUAAAUUAUAGAUA